rnacentral:rRNA from 1 species
UGAGUACGAGAUGCUACGGCAUCGAAGCAGUCUAUGUCAUACUUCCAAGAAAAGCUUGCACUGUCAGAAACAGAUAAUGCCUGUACCAUAACCGACACAGGUGGGUAGGUAGAGUAUACUAAGGGGCGCGAGAUAACUCUCUCUAAGGAACUCGGCAAAAUGACUCCGUAACUUCGGGAGAAGGAGUGCCUUAUUUUUAAGGUUGCAAUAACAAGAUCCAAGCAACUGUUUACCAAAAACACAGGUCUCCGCUAAGUCGUAAGACGAUGUAUGGGGGCUGACGCCUGCCCAGUGCCAGAAGGUUAAAGAAGUCGGUUAGCAUUCGCGAAGCUGGUAACUGAAGCCCUGGUGAACGGCGGCCGUAACGAUAACGGUCCUAAGGUAGCGAAAUUCCUUGUCGGGUAAGUUCCGACCCGCACGAAAGGCGUAAUGAUUUGGAUACUGUCUCGGAGAGGGGCUCGGUGAAAUAGACUUGUCUGUGAAGAUGCGGACUACCUGCACCUGGACAGAAAGACCCUAUGAAGCUUUACUGUAACUUGAAAUUGAAAUUGGACUUUAUUUGCGCAGUAUAGGUGGGAGGCGUUGAAAAUAUUCUUGCGGGAAUAUUGGAGCCAUCAGUGAGAUACCACUCUUGUAAUGUUAGAUUUCUAACUUUAUAUCAUUAUCUGGUUAAAGAACAGUUUCAGGCGGGCAGUUUGACUGGGGCGGUCGCCUCCCAAAUGGUAACGGAGGCGCACAAAGGUUUCCUCUGAACGGGUAGAAAUCGUAUCUAGAGUGUAAAGGCAUAAGGAAGCUUGACUGUGAGACCUACAAGUCGAGCAGGGACGAAAGUCGGUCUUAGUGAUCUGACGGUGCUGAGUGGAAAGGCCGUCACUCAACGGAUAAAAGUUACUCUAAGGAUAACAGGCUGAUCUCCCCCAAGAGUUCACAUCGACGGGGAGGUUUGGCACCUCGAUGUCGGCUCAUCGCAUCCUGGGGCGGUAGUACGUCCCAAGGGUUGGGCUGUUCGCCCAUGAAAGCGGUACGCGAGCUGGGUUCAGAACGUCGUGAGACAGUUCGGUCCAUAUCCGGUGUAGGCGUUAGAAUAUUGAGAGGAGCCUUCUUUAGUACGAGAGGACCGAGAAGGACAUACCUCUGGUGUACCAGUUAUCGUGCCAACGGUAAACGCUGGGUAGCUAUGUAUGGAGUGGAUAACCGCUGAAAGCAUCUAAGUGGGAAGCCCACCUCAAGAUAAGUAUUC